UUCAGAGACAUCCCGUAAAAUUGUAAAAUUGGAAUGAUAGAGAAAAGAUUAGCAUGGCCCUAACGCAAGGAUGACAUGCAUAAAAAGGAUACUGCCUUCAUAAUC